rnacentral:misc_RNA from 1 species
CGAUGAUGGCGACGACAGACAAGGCGAGACCGGCGACUAUUGAUCAAAACGAAGCGAGCGAUUUCGACUU